rnacentral:rRNA from 1 species
GGCUCAGGAUGAACGCUAGCUACAGGCUUAACACAUGCAAGUCGAGGGGCAGCGGGAUUGAAGCUUGCUUCAAUUGCCGGCGACCGGCGCACGGGUGAGUAACGCGUAUCCAACCUUCCGUACACUCAGGGAUAGCCUUUCGAAAGAAAGAUUAAUACCUGAUAGUAUCUUAAGCACACAUGUAAUUAAGAUUAAAGAUUUAUCGGUGUACGAUGGGGAUGCGUCCCAUUAGGUAGUAGGCGGGGUAACGGCCCACCUAGCCAACGAUGGAUAGGGGUUCUGAGAGGAAGGUCCCCCACAUUGGAACUGAGACACGGUCCAAACUCCUACGGGAGGCAGCAGUGAGGAAUAUUGGUCAAUGGACGAGAGUCUGAACCAGCCAAGUAGCGUGAAGGAUGAAGGUCCUACGGAUUGUAAACUUCUUUUAUAAGGGAAUAAACCCUCCCACGUGUGGGAGCUUGUAUGUACCUUAUGAAUAAGCAUCGGCUAACUCCGUGCCAGCAGCCGCGGUAAUACGGAGGAUGCGAGCGUUAUCCGGAUUUAUUGGGUUUAAAGGGAGCGCAGACGGGUCGUUAAGUCAGCUGUGAAAGUUUGGGGCUCAACCUUAAAAUUGCAGUUGAUACUGGCGUCCUUGAGUGCGGUUGAGGUGUGCGGAAUUCGUGGUGUAGCGGUGAAAUGCUUAGAUAUCACGAAGAACUCCGAUUGCGAAGGCAGCACACUAAUCCGUAACUGACGUUCAUGCUCGAAAGUGUGGGUAUCAAACAGGAUUAGAUACCCUGGUAGUCCACACGGUAAACGAUGGAUACUCGCUGUUGGCGAUAUACUGUCAGCGGCUUAGCGAAAGCGUUAAGUAUCCCACCUGGGGAGUACGCCGGCAACGGUGCAACUCAA